rnacentral:rRNA from 1 species
GGUUAAGCGACUAAGCGUACACGGUGGAUGCCCUGGCAGUCAGAGGCGAUGAAGGACGUGCUAAUCUGCGAUAAGCGUCGGUAAGGUGAUAUGAACCGUUAUAACCGGCGAUUUCCGAAUGGGGAAACCCAGUGUGAUUCGUCACACUAUCAUUACGUGAAUACAUAGCGUAAUGAAGCGAACCGGGGGAACUGAAACAUCUAAGUACCCCGAGGAAAAGAAAUCAACCGAGAUUCCCCCAGUAGCGGCGAGCGAACGGGGAGCAGCCCAGAGUCUGAAUCAGCUUGUGUGUUAGUGGAACGGUCUGGAAAGUCCGACGGUACAGGGUGAUAGUCCCGUACACCAAAAUGCACAGGUUGUGAACUCGAAGAGUAGGGCGGGACACGUGGUAUCCUGUCUGAAUAUGGGGGGACCAUCCUCCAAGGCUAAAUACUCCUGACUGACCGAUAGUGAACCAGUACCGUGAGGGAAAGGCGAAAAGAACCCCGGCGAGGGGAGUGAAAAAGAACCUGAAACCGUGUACGUACAAGCAGUGGGAGCCUCUUUAUGGGGUGACUGCGUACCUUUUGUAUAAUGGGUCAGCGACUUAUAUUCUGUAGCAAGGUUAACCGUAUAGGGGAGCCGAAGGGAAACCGAGUCUUAACUGGGCGUUAAGUUGCAGGGUAUAGACCCGAAACCCGGUGAUCUAGCCAUGGGCAGGUUGAAGGUUGGGUAACACUAACUGGAGGACCGAACCGACUAAUGUUGAAAAAUUAGCGGAUGACUUGUGGCUGGGGGUGAAAGGCCAAUCAAACCGGGAGAUAGCUGGUUCUCCCCGAAAGCUAUUUAGGUAGCGCCUCGUGAACUCAUCUUCGGGGGUAGAGCACUGUUUCGGCUAGGGGGUCAUCCCGACUUACCAACCCGAUGCAAACUGCGAAUACCGAAGAAUGUUAUCACGGGAGACACACGGCGGGUGCUAACGUCCGUCGUGAAGAGGGAAACAACCCAGACCGCCAGCUAAGGUCCCAAAGUCAUGGUUAAGUGGGAAACGAUGUGGGAAGGCACAGACAGCCAGGAUGUUGGCUUAGAAGCAGCCAUCAUUUAAAGAAAGCGUAAUAGCUCACUGGUCGAGUCGGCCUGCGCGGAAGAUGUAACGGGGCUAAACCAUGCACCGAAGCUGCGGCAGCGACACUAUGUGUUGUUGGGUAGGGGAGCGUUCUGUAAGCCGUUGAAGGUGGCCUGUGAGGGUUGCUGGAGGUAUCAGAAGUGCGAAUGCUGACAUAAGUAACGAUAAUGCGGGUGAAAAACCCGCACGCCGGAAGACCAAGGGUUCCUGUCCAACGUUAAUCGGGGCAGGGUGAGUCGACCCCUAAGGCGAGGCCGAAAGGCGUAGUCGAUGGGAAACAGGUUAAUAUUCCUGUACUUGGUGUUACUGCGAAGGGGGGACGGAGAAGGCUAUGUUAGCCGGGCGACGGUUGUCCCGGUUUAAGCAUGUAGGCGGAGGUUCCAGGUAAAUCCGGUACCUUUUAACGCUGAGGUGUGAUGACGAGGCACUACGGUGCUGAAGUAACAAAUGCCCUGCUUCCAGGAAAAGCCUCUAAGCAUCAGGUAACACGAAAUCGUACCCCAAACCGACACAGGUGGUCAGGUAGAGAAUACCAAGGCGCUUGAGAGAACUCGGGUGAAGGAACUAGGCAAAAUGGUGCCGUAACUUCGGGAGAAGGCACGCUGAUAUGUAGGUGAAGCGGUUUACCCGUGGAGCUGAAAUCAGUCGAAGAUACCAGCUGGCUGCAACUGUUUAUUAAAAACACAGCACUGUGCAAACACGAAAGUGGACGUAUACGGUGUGACGCCUGCCCGGUGCCGGAAGGUUAAUUGAUGGGGUUAUCCGUAAGGAGAAGCUCUUGAUCGAAGCCCCGGUAAACGGCGGCCGUAACUAUAACGGUCCUAAGGUAGCGAAAUUCCUUGUCGGGUAAGUUCCGACCUGCACGAAUGGCGUAAUGAUGGCCAGGCUGUCUCCACCCGAGACUCAGUGAAAUUGAACUCGCUGUGAAGAUGCAGUGUACCCGCGGCAAGACGGAAAGACCCCGUGAACCUUUACUAUAGCUUGACACUGAACACUGGUCCUUGAUGUGUAGGAUAGGUGGGAGGCUUUGAAGUGUGGACGCCAGUCUGCAUGGAGCCAUCCUUGAAAUACCACCCUUUAAUGGCUGGUGUUCUAACGUGGACCCGUUACCCGGGUUGCGGACAGUGUCUGGUGGGUAGUUUGACUGGGGCGGUCUCCUCCUAAAGAGUAACGGAGGAGCACGAAGGUUAGCUAAUCCUGGUCGGACAUCAGGAGGUUAGUGCAAAGGCAUAAGCUAGCUUGACUGCGAGAGUGACGGCUCGAGCAGGUGCGAAAGCAGGUCUUAGUGAUCCGGUGGUUCUGAAUGGAAGGGCCAUCGCUCAACGGAUAAAAGGUACUCCGGGGAUAACAGGCUGAUACCGCCCAAGAGUUCAUAUCGACGGCGGUGUUUGGCACCUCGAUGUCGGCUCAUCACAUCCUGGGGCUGAAGUAGGUCCCAAGGGUAUGGCUGUUCGCCAUUUAAAGUGGUACGCGAGCUGGGUUUAGAACGUCGUGAGACAGUUCGGUCCCUAUCUGCCGUGGGCGCUGGAGAAUUGAGGGGGGCUGCUCCUAGUACGAGAGGACCGGAGUGGACGCAUCACUGGUGUUCGGGUUGUCAUGCCAAUGGCAUUGCCCGGUAGCUAAAUGCGGAAGAGAUAAGUGCUGAAAGCAUCUAAGCACGAAACUUGCCCCGAGAUGAGUUCUCCCUGAGACUAUAAGUCUCCUGAAGGAACGUUAAAGACGAUGACGUUGAUAGGUCGGGUGUGUAAGUGUAGCGAUACAUUGAGCUAACCGAUACUAAUGAACCGUGAGGCUUAACCUU